rnacentral:rRNA from 1 species
UGGCGGCGCGUUUUAAGCAUGCAAGUCGAACGGUAACCAUCCUUCGGUGAUGGCUAGAGUGGCGAACGGGUGAGUAACACGUAGGUGAUCUGCCCUUGAGUUGGGGAUAGCCCAUGGAAACAUGGGGUAAUACCGAAUACGCUCAGGACCCUGUGGGGAUCUGAGGAAAAGCGCUUCGGCGCUGCUCGAGGAUGAGCCUGCGGCUGAUUAGUUAGUUGGUGGGGUAACGGCCUACCAAGGCGACGAUCAGUAGCCGGCCUGAGAGGGUGAGCGGCCACACUGGGACUGAGAUACGGCCCAGACUCCUACGGGAGGCAGCAGCUAAGAAUCUUCUACAAUGGACGAAAGUCUGAUAGAGCGACGCCGCGUGGGUGAUGAAGGCCGGAAGGUUGUAAAGCCCUUUUCUAUUCGAGGAAUAACCAUGGGAGGCAAUGCCUGUGGGAUGACGGUAGGGUAGGAAUAAGCCCCGGCCAAUUACGUGCCAGCAGCCGCGGUAACACGUAUGGGGCGAGCGUUGUUCGGAAUCAUUGGGCGUAAAGGGCGCGUAGGCGGAUAUGCAAGCUUGGUGUGAAAGACCGCAGCUCAACUGCGGGAGCGCGCUGAGAACUGCAUAUCUUGAGUUCAAGAGGGGAAGCUGGAAUUCCAGGUGUAGGGGUGAAAUCUGUAGAUAUUUGGAAGAACAUCAGUGGCGAAGGCGAGCUUCUGGCUUUGAACUGACGCUGAGGCGCGAAAGCGUGGGGAGCGAACAGGAUUAGAUACCCUGGUAGUCCACGCUGUAAACGAUGUGCACUAGGUGUUGGGCCGUUGAAGGCUCAGUGCCGUAGCUAACGCGUUAAGUGCACCGCCUGGGGAGUAUGCUCGCAAGAGUGAAACUCAAAGGAAUUGACGGGGG